rnacentral:rRNA from 1 species
AACGAACGCUGGCGGCGCAUAUUAGACAUGCAAGUCGAACGUGAAAUUCCGGUUCGCCGGAAGAUUAGCGUGGCGGACGGGUGAGGAACACGUAGGUAAUCUGCCCUGAAGAUCGGGAUAACCUUGCGAAAGCAAGAACAAUACCGAAUACGAUCCCGACCCCAAAAGGGGAUGGGAUGAAAUGUGCCCAAGUUCGCUUGGGUUUCGCUUCGGGAUGAGCCUGCGUCCUAUUAGCUUGUUGGUGGGGUAACGGCCUACCAAGGUGACGAUGGGUAGCCGACCUGAGAGGGUCAACGGCCACACUGGGACUGAGACACGGCCCAGACUCCUACGGGAGGCAGCAGUUUGGAAUCUUGCGCAAUGGGCGCAAGCCUGACGCAGUGACGCCGCGUGAGUGAUGAAGGCCUUCGGGUCGUAAAGCUCUGUCAAGGGGAACGAAGUCCCGAAUUUAUAUCGGGAUGACGGUACUCCUAAAGGAAGCUCCGGCUAACUCCGUGCCAGCAGCCGCGGUGAGACGGAGGGAGCUAGCGUUGUUCGGAAUUACUGGGCGUAAAGGGCACGUAGGCGCCCCGCCAAGUUUUCGGUGAAAUCCUCGGGCUUAACCUGAGACCUGCCGAGAAAACUAGCGGGGUUGAGUUCAGGAGAGGGGAAUGGAAUUCCCAGUGUAGCGGUGAAAUGCGUAGAUAUUGGGAAGAACACCAGUGGCGAAGGCGAUUCCCUGGUCUGAUACUGACGCUGAGGUGCGAAAGCUGGGGGAGCGAACGGGAUUAGAUACCCCGGUAGUCCCAGCCGUAAACGAUGGGCACUAGGUGUAGGAGGUAUUGAAUCCUUCUGCGCCGUAGCUAACGCGAUAAGUGCCCCGCCUGGGGAGUACGACCGCAAGGUUGGAACUCAAAGGAAUUGACGGGGACCCGCACAAGCGGUGGAGCAUGUGGCUCAAUUCGAGGCAACGCGAAGAACCUUAUCCAGGGUUUGACAUGCAGCUGCAAGUCCCGUGAAAACGGGAUUCCUUCGAGGGUGCUGCACAGGUGCUGCAUGGCUGUCGUCAGUUCGUGUCGUGAGAUGUUGGGUUAAGUCCCGCAACGAACGCAACCCUUGUCCUGUGUUGCCAGCGGUUCGGCCGGGAAUUCACAGGAGACUGCCCCGAGUAGGGGAGGAAGGUGAGGAUGACGUCAAGUCCGCAUGGCCCUUAUGCCCUGGGCUGCACACGUGCUACAAUGGUCGGUACAGAGGGCUUGCAAGACCGUGAGGUGGAGCGAAUCCCUAAAGCCGGCCUCAGUUCGGAUUGGAGUCUGCAACUCGACUCCAUGAAGCUGGAAUCGCUAGUAAUCGUGGAUCAGCACGCCACGGUGAAUACGUUCCCGGGUCUUGUACACACCGCCCGUCAUACCAACCGAGUCGAAUGCACCCCAAGUC